rnacentral:sRNA from 1 species
UGGAUGGAAAUGUACAAGCCCUAGGU